AGUGAACGCUGGCGGUAGGCCUAACACAUGCAAGUCGAACGGCAGCACAGUAAGAGCUUGCUCUUACGGGUGGCGAGUGGCGGACGAGUGAGGAAUACAUCGGAAUCUACUUUUUCGUGGGGGAUAACGUAGGGAAACUUACGCUAAUACCGCAUACGACCUACGGGUGAAAGCAGGGGAUCUUCGGACCUUGCGCGAUUGAAUGAGCCGAUGUCGGAUUAGCUAGUUGGCGGGGUAAAGGCCCACCAAGGCGACGAUCCGUAGCUGGUCUGAGAGGAUGAUCAGCCACAUUGGAACUGAGACACGGUCCAGACUCCUACGGGAGGCAGCAGUGGGGAAUAUUGGACAAUGGGCGCAAGCCUGAUCCAGCCAUACCGCGUGGGUGAAGAAGGCCUUCGGGUUGUAAAGCCCUUUUGUUGGGAAAGAAAAGCAGCAGGUUAAUACCCCGCUGUUCUGACGGUACCCAAAGAAUAAGCACCGGCUAACUUCGUG
rnacentral:rRNA from 1 species